AUGCACCCAUGUUUGUGCCGCAAGGAGAUGCCCUGGUCCUUGAAAAAGUCUUAUCAUGGUGACGGGUUCUGCGAUGCACCAUCCUUUGACCUCGGCAUAGAUGGUGAUGCUCUAGCACCUGCUCCAGCAACAGAAACAGCGGAAGCUGGUGUGAUUUGCAUUGAUGAGUGUGAGUUGGACCCAGCAGCUGUGAAUGAAGGAUGUGAUGCUGCUGAUGCUGGCAAGGCAAUAGCUCAAGAGCUAGAUGUUGGUUCAUCAGAGAAUUGCCACACCCUGAUAUGCGCAGAACCAGAAGCUGGCACGAGUAGUUCUUCGGGACCACCUAUUGCACGAAGACAGAGGAGAGUAAUAAGGCCCGCAGCAUCUCAAAGGUCUCCAUUCAUCGACUACAACAAGAAGAAGACUUUCAGCACCAAUGAGGUAGUGAACAAGCUUUAUGCUGCCCUCUUGUAUUGGGUCAGGCAUCACAAAGGAGCAGAUGAUGGAGCUAUCAGCCCUGAGAUAAUCAGGUAUGGUGUUUUCUACAUUUCUUUAAAGGAGUUAGUUGAUUCGAUGAAGCCGGUUCAAUGGUUGUCAAAAAUUAUUAUUGAGACUGGAAUCUUACACAUCAUGGAUAACUUACUAGAAGGGUCAAAGAAGGUUGUUAUGCCACUGAGGUUUUCUAUAAAUUUACAGCAAGGGAUCCACAAUGUGAAUGAGAUAAACAAGAAGUUUGAUUACAAGAACCGUCUCGACAAGAAAGACUCGGUCAUGCUGCCAGUGCUCGAUGUCAACUUGAGGGAUGGACGCUUCGAAGUUCUUGAUUCAAGCAGGACGCUGGACAACAUUGAGCUGAUGAACACCGCCUCUACCAUUGCCGGGGCAGUACGCCAGCUAUGGAGGAAGCAUUACCCAAAGUUCAGCAUCGAGCACUUCCAGAUUAUUGACAUUGACUGUGGGUUGUUCGCACUGCUUAACGCCACCGAGUGGAAUGGUAGCCAACUGCCCAACUACGACCCCAAGGAAGUACUCAACAUCAGAAAGAAGCUGGCAUAUGAUUGGGUCACCAGCGUGCACAACACCGCCCCAUGGAGGAAGUUGCUGAGAUACGACAAGGAGUAG
rnacentral:rRNA from 1 species